rnacentral:misc_RNA from 1 species
ACAGAUGGCAUGACAUUCGGGUUACACAGCUACAACCCAGAAUGCAUUUCACCUCGGCAUGUGCCUUUCUGUGUCGGCCAUUUUGUAGUUUCCUUGAGAAAUUGUGUUGAGUUGAUUCUUCUUCUCGGGUACGUGUACAUGAAUGGGGACAUUGGGAAGCUCCCUCCAGGGGCGGUUUACCCAGCCACCCCUGAACCUAUGGGUUCAGUUGGGGGUACAGUUGUCACAACUGCCUCCAGUUUAGACUAUAGUGUCAUGAACGGAGGACCAACGCCAGGCGAGCUGAUGAUUGACCCAAGCAUGGGUGCUAUAGAGCCUUCUGCCCAGCAUUCAAUGGGAUUAGGUGGUGCUGUUAGCGUUGGAUACGCACCUGUUGAAGUUGCUCCUUUAACUGAUGUCCAAGUGCCACCAACUUCAAUGGCAGACUUGCCUAACUCCGGCAUUCCUUUAGAACAACUAAAGCAGAUGCUCUCUUCGCAGCUUGAAUAUUAUUUUUCCAGAGAAAAUUUAGCCAAUGAUACAUAUUUAUUAUCACAAAUGGAUAAUGAUCAAUAUGUACCCAUAUGGACGGUAGCGAACUUUAAUCAAGUAAAGAAAUUAACAAAAGAUAUAAAGUUAAUAACUGAAGUCUUGAGAGAGUCGCCAAAUGUUCAAGUAGACGAAGAAGGACAAAAAGUUCGACCAAAUCAUAAACGAUGUAUAGUUAUUCUACGGGAGAUUCCAGACAGUACGCCUCUGGAAGAAGUCAAAAAUUUAUUCUCAGGAGAAGGAUGUCCACGGCUUAUUUCGUGUGAGUUUGCUCACAAUAGUUCCUGGUACGUAACUUUCGAAUCAGAUGAAGAUGCUCAGAAGGCCUAUAGGUUUCUGCGAGAAGAAGUUAGAGAAUUUCAGGGAAAGCCAAUAAUGGCUCGUAUAAAAGCUAAACCAAUGAACAGGCUACCGAUUCCUUCGGUGGCUGGAGUCGGUGGAAUCAAAAACGGGUACCGAACUCCACCACCUCCACCAGUUUUUGAUCCAAGUAGUUAUCCACCUGGUCAACAACGUUUCUUAUACACUAAUGGUACCACGAUGCCGCCACAAACUACUAUACCGCCAUAUCCUAAUCAAGUCCACCUUUACCAUCAACCAUUUUAUCCUGCUUCAAUGAUGCACUGGGGUCCUGCAAGUCCGGCUUACUUUGACAUGGCUACCGGUGUAUUCACAAUGAAUGGAAUUACUCCGCACAAUUCAUUUAAACCACACACAAGGUUUACUCCAAGAAGUAAUAGAAAUAAACAUAGAAAUGUAUCGGAUAGAAAUAGUGGGCCAAUGGACAGUGGUGGUGGUAAUAGUGGUGGAAUGGUACAUAUGGGUCGAGUGAAUCAUCCACCAAAGAGUGGAGGUGGCGGUGGUGGUUCAGGAGGUGUUGGUAGUGGUGGUGGAGGAUCAAAUUCAGUACCAAUGGUAGCAGUGUUUACAACAAAUCAUCCGACGUCAAAACCAACGUCAUCCUCUUAUCAAGUUGGUGGCACAAAGUUUCACUCUUCACAUGCGGCUUCAGCAUCGGGAGAGACGCAAUAUGCGAGUAGUCACGUUGCCAAGGUUACGCCGGAGAAUGAAACGCAGAAUACGGAUGCUCCAGGUGUCCAAUAUCCUCGUCAUCGCAUUCACCGCAGAACCAAAGAUCAAGAUGGAAUGAUGUCAAAGACGAAUAAUAGUGCAUUGCCGUCGAUCCGUGAAAGUGGUGCUGGUGGUAGUGGAUCUUCCACGUCGGCAUCAAGCAACAGCAACAAUUCACAGCAUUACAACCGAAAUGUAGUUCAAUUCGACUUGGAGGCAUCGGCAUUUCCACCUCUUCCAGGCUUAGAUGCCGAUCCAACCAAGUCUCACAACGUCACGACGGAGCCUGGUACGACUGUUGACAGUCUUCAAUCCCAAAAUAGGCUAUCAGACGUUGUCAAAGGUACCGCCAAGAUGAAAGGCACAAAGGAGAAAGAAACAAUGUCCAGCAGCAACCAGCAGAUCAUCAAUAGUAGCAGAUCUACCAGUCCUGGAUCCAGUGCUAGUGGUCAAGCAGCGAUAGAUAAUAUCUCUGCUACUAUUGGCAAUACUAGCUCAUCGGUUUCUUCGAAUGCUGCUGUUACUGCUGGUGCUGUUAGCUCCAAUACCUCUGUUUCAACAGACAUCACGCUCAGCACCGUCACCCUCACUCCUCCGUCAUCUCCGGAUAAGAACUCAAUAAGCCGAGCUAUGCCCAAGUAGCUCAACACUGUCGUGAGCAACCUUGUACGAAACACAAAGUAGAAGAAAAAGAAGGAAGCGAAUAAAUUGAUAUAUAUAACUGCAAUUCAUAAGAAAUAGCAGUUAAUUUCAUCAUUUGGAACUAAAUGGAUUCAUUAUCGCUUCUAAAAAUAAAAUAAUGGACAAAAUGAACUAAUAAAAUAGUGGUUGUACAAGUGGGCGUAACAACAAAAAACUUUUUACAUUGUACAGUGACUUUGCCUAUUCUGAGUGUGGUAUUAUUUGUUAAUAACGGAUUCUAAUAAAAAAUUCAACAAUAAGGGUCAAGAAAAAGCUAUAAAAAAUGUUUAAAAAUGAAAAAAAAGUAGAUAUAGAGAUAAUUGGAGAUAACGAAUGAACAAUAAUGAAUAUUAAACGAUUAAUCAUUUUGCGCAAAUUAAUAAAAAUUUCAAACAACUUAAAGUACACUAUUGCUGACAGGAUAAUACAUUGCUUUCAGAGUAUCGGUAUUGCUUUGGUUCUGUGAUUUUGGAGGUACAUAUUUAAUAGUUUUUAAAGAGAAAAACAUUAACAUAAGCUUUUAAUGAUUUUAUUCCUUGUUUUCCCACUUUGUGAAACCGAAAGGCUGUAAAGUGAUGGAAAGAUGAUAAGUUUUAGCUUUGUGCCAAAACCCGAAAUCACGAGCACACAGUGUAUAAUCUAAAGCAACGAAUGUGUAAUUAGUAAUGCGAUUGAAAUGGGAGUAAAUAACGAAUUUCAUUCAAUACCAGUUCUCUCGUGCUAAUAAUGUUUUAAGCAACUGUGUUAAAGUGUGAAUGAUUUUCAGUUUCUUUCUAUAAACGAUGAGUUUAUUUUAUAUGAAAAGAUUUUUUCAAUAUUUUUGUGUCCAUACUGGUGGUUAAUUUUUUCUGAUUUUUUUAAUUACACGAAUGAUUUAUUCUUUAUUUUUAAGACAUGACUAUUGUUUCGAACAUUUCUCAGUUUUUCAUUAGGGUCAAUGAACGUUUUAUUUAUGAUCACAAGAAUUUAUUUGUUUGAUUGGGAUAGUAUAAUUAUUUUUCAUAAACAAUGAAAAACGCUGCACAAAAAUAUUUCUUCAAUUAUUUUGUGUAGAGAAAAUAAUAAGAGAAAUAAGGGAAAUUUUUCUCACUAACUGACUUCCAUUAAUAAAAAUUAAAAAUUUAAAUAAAAUUGACCGUCAUAAGGCUAUGUAUGAUUUGAAUGAUACAAGGUUAGUGCACAUGACAAAUGAAGACAAAUACAAAAUAAGAAUUAAUCAGUUAACAAAAUUAACAAACGUAUCCGGUGAUUAUAAUGUGACAAAACAAAAAUAGUAUUCCAAAAAAAUACUAAUAGUCGUUGGUUUUCGUCACAUUCUUUAGACUUUGCUUGUUACUUGUUUUUGCAUAAAUUACAAAUAAUUAUGGCACAGGCUUUUUAUUUUAUAAAAAUAUUGUUAUAAAACAAUUAACAUACAAUUUAGAAUAUUAUGCUUUUGGCAAGUAACAUAAAUGAAGUGAUGUCUGACGACGGACUACGGUAUAUAUAUUAAACAUAAAUAUAUAUAUAUAUACAUACAAACAUAUAUAUAUAUAUAUAUAAAUAUAUAUUUGAGCACACAAUUAAGUGCCUCAAGUGUUAUUGUAUAUUACAGGAGCUUGGCUUUAGAUGUUAUAUGAUUAUAUGUAAACUACAUUAAACAUCUUAGCAAGUAAAAAAUAUAAAAAAUAAAUUGAUAAAAACUACGCAUAUGAUAUAUUUGUUACUGAUAUGCGUACAGAAUUGAAAAAUGAAUAUUACAGUGAGUAAGAAAUAAAAAAAAAUGACAAACAAUAAAAAUAAAAUAAAAAAUAAUAUUAAAUUGAGUAUAAAUGGAUAUAAGUAAAAAAAAAAAAUACGAUUUUCUGAUUAAGUAAAAAAAUAAUGGAUAUGUGGAUUAAAAUUUAAAUGUAAACAAUUGUCAUAUUAAGUUAGUUAAUGCUGCCUUUUAAUUUUUAUUACAUUUCUCGAUGAAACCUCAUCCGUUUGUAUAUGUAAUCGUUCACUAAUAAGAAUAUUGAUGAUUGAGAAACAGAAUUAGAAAUAUUAUUCAAUGAACGAAAAUAAUAGAAAGCUAUUUAGAAAAUGAAAAAGAGAUGCGAAAAGAGUAAAAAAUGAGUACGGAGUAUAAAAUAAUUAAAAAUAAUACGUGCCUAUUUAUGAGGUAACGCUACCUUGCAAAUUCCUUCUUCUUAAUAAGAAUAAAAGAAAAUGAAAAAAUGAAGUAAAAGAUUUAAAAACUCAAAGUUACCGAAUUAACAGAACAUAAAAAAAAUAUUAAAAAUAACAUAGACAAUGUGUAUGCACUUAAAAAUAAACGUAUUGUGAACAGCAUUUAAUCUUAAUAAAAUUUAAACAAAAUGCAAGGUUUGCAAAGAGGGAGAGAAAGAGAAACAAUUAAACGAUAAAAAUGCUAUCUUCGUUACUCCAUAU